rnacentral:rRNA from 1 species
GUACACUCCUACGGGAGGCAGCAGUGGGGAAUUUUGGACAAUGGGCGAAAGCCUGAUCCAGCCAUGCCGCGUGCAGGAUGAAGGCCUUCGGGUUGUAAACUGCUUUUGUACGGAACGAAACGGCCUUUUCUAAUAAAGAGGGCUAAUGACGGUACCGUAAGAAUAAGCACCGGCUAACUACGUGCCAGCAGCCGCGGUAAUACGUAGGGUGCAAGCGUUAAUCGGAAUUACUGGGCGUAAAGCGUGCGCAGGCGGUUAUGUAAGACAGUUGUGAAAUCCCCGGGCUCAACCUGGGAACUGCAUCUGUGACUGCAUAGCUAGAGUACGGUAGAGGGGGAUGGAAUUCCGCGUGUAGCAGUGAAAUGCGUAGAUAUGCGGAGGAACACCGAUGGCGAAGGCAAUCCCCUGGACCUGUACUGACGCUCAUGCACGAAAGCGUGGGGAGCAAACAGGAUUAGAUACCCGUGUAGUCCCAU